rnacentral:rRNA from 1 species
GAUGAACGCUAGCUACAGGCUUAACACAUGCAGGUCGCGGGGCAGCAUGGGGGUUGCUUGCAAUCCCCGAUGGCGACCGGCGCACGGGUGAGUAACGCGUAUCCAACCUGCCCUUCACCACGGGAUAACCCGGCGAAAGUCGGACUAAUACCGUAUGUUGUCCAUUGACGGCAUCCGAUUUGGACGAAAGGUUUGGCGGUGAAGGAUGGGGAUGCGUCCGAUUAGCUGGACGGCGGGGUGACGGCCCACCGUGGCGACGAUCGGUAGGGGUUCUGAGAGGAAGGUCCCCCACACUGGAACUGAGACACGGUCCAGACUCCUACGGGAGGCAGCAGUGAGGAAUAUUGGUCAAUGGGCGUAAGCCUGAACCAGCCAAGUAGCGUGCAGGAGGACGGCCCUAUGGGUUGUAAACUGCUUUUAUGCGGGGAUAAAGUGGCCCACGUGUGGGUUUUUGCAGGUACCGCAUGAAUAAGGACCGGCUAAUUCCGUG